AAAAGGUGGCUAUGCUACCGCUUUUGGAUGGGCCCGCGGCGCAUUAGCUAGUUGGUGGGGUAAAGGCUUACCAAGGCAAUGAUGCGUAGCCGAACUGAGAGGUUGAUCGGCCACAUUGGGACUGAGACACGGCCCAAACUCCUACGGGAGGCAGCAGUAGGGAAUCUUCCACAAUGGGCGAAAGCCUGAUGGAGCAACGCCGCGUGGGUGAAGAAGGUCUUCGGAUCGUAAAACCCUGUUGUUAGAGAAGAAAGUGCGUGAGAGUAACUGUUCACGUUUCGACGGUAUCUAACCAGAAAGCCACGGCUAACUACGUGCCAGCAGCCGCGGUAAUACGUAGGUGGCAAGCGUUAUCCGGAUUUAUUGGGCGUAAAGGGAACGCAGGCGGUCUUUUAAGUCUGAUGUGAAAGCCUUCGGCUUAACCGGAGUAGUGCAUUGGAAACUGGGAGACUUGAGUGCAGAAGAGGAGAGUGGAACUCCAUGUGUAGCGGUGAAAUGCGUAGAUAUAUGGAAGAACACCAGUGGCGAAAGCGGCUCUCUGGUCUGUAACUGACGCUGAGGUUCGAAAGCGUGGGUAGCAAACAGGAUUAGAUACCCUGGUAGUCCACGCCGUAAACGAUGAAUGGUAAGUGUUGGAGGGUUUCCGCCCUUCA
rnacentral:rRNA from 1 species